CCCACGGUCGUAACAGUUCGUAUAGAAAAACUAUGUACGGAGGCUGGUUAAGAUAUUUAGUUUUGAAAAUUAACGAGAGGUGGCGCUUUGUUCAAUUUUGUAUAUUUUUUUUCGUUAGCAACAUUAUAAUGUGGUGUUGCUAUCGACUGUUUGUCAGUUCUUUAUACGCAAAAUACUUACGUCUCUAACUUUGAAAUAAGCUUUUUCUUCAGAAAAAAAAGAGGAAUGCAAACUUCAAAGCAUCUAAAUCAUAAACAAAAUAUGUCUACACAUGUGAUCUACACUUACUUGUUGUUACUUGAUAUUUAUUAAGGUAGAAAAUCGCUUUGGUUUUUUCCAAGUGGUUUUGUAAAUUUUUGUGUGUAAUGGAACGCAUAUAUGUCAUGGCGUCCGGCCGGUACCCUUUAAAAGUUGUUGAUUGUGUUGUGUGGUGCGUUCUCCUGUUUUCCGUAUAUUUGUGGCUUUUCCGACAACGUUUGCUUUCCAAAGGACACCGAAAUCUCCGCUUUAAUUUUACACCUGUGCGCACUACUUUGGACUCCGAGUUUUCUCUUUACGAUUUGGAUUUGACGAUAUGGGAUCUCCGUUCAGAUGUUGUGUUCGUUAUUGCACUACAACUCGCAGUAAGUUUUAAAUAUACUAUUUUAAUGUGGACUUUCCCAUUAUAAGUAUAUACAGUACAGUAUUAUAGGAGAUACCGUAGAACAAUAAUAAUAUGUCUUCAUUUACAGGUGAUGAUUGCAAUGUUAUUUUGCAUUCAUUUCCCAACCCCGAUAAGGAAGAGGACAGAUUUAGAUCUUGGGUCUACUCAAUUGGGGGAGAUAUUCUGGUUUUGGAUAACCAAUUUGUAUUCAAAAACAGAAAAAUAUGCCACAAGCACUUCGAAAGUAAAUACCAUACAAGAAGUUCAAGAUUAAGUGCUAAUGCAGUUCCUACUUUGCAUUUAAAAGGCAUACCUUGUAAAGACCAUUAUCAGAUGUUACCAAUGUGACCAGUUACAAUCCAAUAUUUGCUCAACCUUCAACAUCCACAGCAGGUCCACUUCAUUCUGGUGAACCAAUAUCUAUCAAGACCAGUGAACUUGAGAAGCUAGCAGAAGCAGAUUUAGGCAAACCUGUAAAGACUUCAGGAGUAAAACAUAUUUCCCUAAAACAAGCAGCUGCAAUGACAAAAAAUGUACCAAACUUAGCGAAUCUGCAAAAAACAAUCAAGAAGUUACAACAAAGAAAGAAAGUUACGCCACACGACUGAAAAGAGCCUUAAGACUUUCUGAAAAUACCACUUUUCAGAAGUGCUUACAAAAAUUUUCGACUUUGGCAGCCUUGUUUACAGUCAUGCAAUUUCGCGAAAUUUCAAAAGGAAAAAUGGGAAGAAGGUUCACAAAGGACGAAAAAUCAUGGCUCUCAGUUUGUACAAACAGGGCCCAAAAGCAUAUAGAUGGCUCAGUAAAAUAUUUAUUUUACCAUCUCCUAUCACUCUGAGUCGUCUGAUUUCCUGUGCUGGUCUAAGACCAGGAAUCAACAAAAGGAUAUUUAACCAGUUGAAGAAAAGAGCCCAAAAAAUGACAGAAAAUGAAAAGUUAUGCAUUCUUCUGUUCGAUGAAAUAUCUAUUACACCCCAUUAUGACUAUAAUAGAAAACGAGAUGCCAUUACGGGAUUUAUUAAUAAUGGAAAACAAACAAACAGGAACAUAGCGGAUCAUGCACU